rnacentral:rRNA from 1 species
UACAGAGGUCCCGAGCGUUGUUCGGAUUCACUGGGCGUAAAGGGUGCGCAGGUGGCCAGGCAAGUCGGAUGUGAAAGCUCCGGGCUCAACCCGGAAAUGGCAUUGGAAACUGCCUGGCUGGAGGUUUGGAGGGGGGACUGGAAUUCUCGGUGUAGCAGUGAAAUGCGUAGAGAUCGAGAGGAACACCAGUGGCGAAGGCGAGUCCCUGGACAACACCUGACACUGAGGCACGAAAGCCAGGGGAGCAAACGGG